UACAUAGGGUGCAAGCGUUAAUCGGAAUUACUGGGCGUAAAGCGUGCGUAGACGGUUACAUAAGUCGGGUGUGAAAGCCCCGGGCUCAACCUGGGAAUUGCAUUCGAGACUGCGUAGCUAGGGUGCGGAAGAGGGAAGCGGAAUUUCCGGUGUAGCGGUGAAAUGCGUAGAUAUCGGAAGGAACACCAGUGGCGAAAGCGGCUUCCUGGUCCAGCACCGACGUUCAGGCACGAAAGCGUGGGGAGCAAACAGG
rnacentral:rRNA from 1 species